rnacentral:rRNA from 1 species
GUCUACGGCCAUGCCACGUUGAACACGCCCAAUCCUGUUUGAUCUUGGAAGCUAAGCAGGGUCGGGCCUGGUUAGUAUUUAGAUGGGAGACCACCUAGGAAGACCAGGUGCUGCAGGUG